ACAACCUCCGAUCUGUUGCGGAUCAUCCAAGUGUUUGGUACGAGGAGAAAGCUAAUGAAAUGCCCUGUCCAAUCACGUAGGUCAAAUGGCGAUAUUAUUUUGUAGUUCUUUUAAAAGAGCCAAUCAAAUGAGUAAACCAAACCCUCUUGUUGCUAUGCCUGUCAAGAUCAAGCUCCGUGAUUGGUCAAACGCCCACCGCGUGCUCUAUGGGCAUGCGCAGUUCUCUCACUUACAUCCGCAACAAACCAGCAUGGUUAGUGUUAUUGCAAGUUUGAUUAAUGUUUCGUCUCGUAAAUAGCCGUAUUUACUCCUCAUUUUUGGACAACAAUGACAAGGACAAAGGCGACUGGGAGUCUGAUGAUGACUGGGAUGCCUUUGAUGAUGAAAAAGACGAUCGAGUGCACAAACUGGGAACAGAUUCAGCAGUGGAGAAGACCAAUGCAAUUUUUUUACCGCGGACGUAUCUCCCAAUUCUGGCUAUGAAAAGACCAAUAAUCUUUGCAUCAGCAAGGAAAGACUAACAGGCUUACUGAAAUGGUACUCCACUGGGACAGGACAGGAGGGAGAAAAAUGUCUCGAGAUCCCUUCAGCUGGACAACAUCAAAGGAGAGGUGACAUUCAUCCAACAACAAGGUUCACAAAAUGCCCUAGUGCUCACUGGACAUGUCCCUGGAUUUAAACGUGAUGAUCUACAGCCCCUGCCUUCAGUUCACACUGCCACCAAGGUCAACCAAAGCUACAAAGAUGUUCUUCUUGGGACAGAGAAGAACUAUUGGACCAUCAAGCACCAACAAGAGUGGAGACUUGAAGAAAGCGACGCAUCUCUGAAUCUUACACUGACUCUGAGAGUGCCCAUAGACAGGUUGUGGGCGUGGAGAUGAACUUUUAAAUCUGUAAAUAUGUGGCAAGUACACAAGAGAAUACGUGAGUAAUGUGUGUGUGUGUGUGUGUGUGUGUGUGUGUGU